CCUUACUAACACCAAUCGAGCGAGCCCGUGCCUUCCAUGAUAAAUUUCAUGUUAAUGCCAGGACACUAGCAAACCAUUUCCAUGUUUCUAGAGCAGAUGCACGAGAUAUCGUGCGACUAUGUGACUCCUGUGCCACAUACAAACCUGCCAUACCGAUGGGAGUAAACCCUCGAGGUUUGAUCCCUGGUGAUGUUUGGCAGAUGGACAUCACACAUAUACAGGAGUUUGGGACUCUUAAAUAUGUUCAUGUUUCCACAGACACCUGUUCUCGCGUCAUAUUUGCAACAGCAGAAACAGGUGAAAAAGUGUCUAAUGUGAUCAAUCAUUGCCUGGCGGCUUGGGCCGCAUGGGGCAAACCAAAAAUAUUAAAAACUGAUAAUGGACCAGCCUAUAUAGGCAAAGCCUUCAAUGAGUUCUGCAAAAUGAUGGAGGUUCAAUUAAAACAUGGUAUCCCAUACAAUCCCCAAGGUCAAGGAAUCAUUGAGAGGGCUCAUAGAAGCCUCAAAGAAAUUUUACAAAAACAAAAAGGGGGAGUAGGCCAAGGCCUGGCCCCAAAGGCACGAUUAUCCAUGGCACUAUUCACACACAAUUUUUUAAAUUUAAAUAAUGAUAAUCGCUCCCCAGCUGUGGAGCACUGCAACCCUUCCCCCAACCAUAAAGGGUGGGUGAAGUGGAAAGAUGUCCUGACAGGACAAUGGAUGGGCCCGGAUCCGGUAAUCAGCUGGAACCGAGGCGCGGUUUGUGUUUUCCCACAGGAACCGGGACGAGAACCACUGUGGAUACCGGAGAGACUGACACGGACAACAAAGCCCUCGACUAAAGAUCAGACCUGCCCUACUGGAGAUCCAUCACAGACCAACCAACAAGAUGAAUAGAAAUAGCGGUAGCCCGAAAUGGACAAGAAGAUCCUCAGGCAUAUGCAUGGCUCGCUCGCCUAGCCUACGACCGAGUCUAGGGACGAAGCCAGAUAGAAGCCCGGAAGUAGAAGCCCAGAAGGAGCCGCAGAGAGCGGACCGAUAGAGGCUUUGGGGCAGGCUGAAGCACAAAAGGAGCCGCGGGGAGCAGACCAAAGGAGGCUUCAGCUGGGAGAACCCAGGGCAGGCUGUACGGAGAAGGAAAAUAAAAAGAAAAGGUUGUCCACUA